rnacentral:rRNA from 1 species
UUUGAUCCUGGCUCAGGAUGAACGCUGGCGGUAUGCUUAACACAUGCAAGUCGAACGGGACUCUUCGGAGAAUCUGGCUUCAGGUUCGGGACAACCACGGGAAACGGUGGCUAAUACCGAAUGUGCAGAAAUGUGAAAGAUUAAUUGCCUGAAGAUGAGCUCGCGUCUGAUUAGCUAGUUGGUGGGGUAAGAGCCUACCAAGGCAACGAUCAGUAACUGGUCUGAGAGGAUGACCAGUCACACUGGGACUGAGACACGGCCCAGACUCCUACGGGAGGCAGCAGUGGGGAAUUUUCCGCAAUGGGCGAAAGCCUGACGGAGCAAUACCGCGUGAGGGAGGAAGGCUCUAGGGUUGUAAACCUCUUUUCUCAGGGAAGAACAAAAUGACGGUACCUGAGGAAUCAGCAUCGGCUAACUCCGUGCCAGCAGCCGCGGUAAUACGGAGGAUGCAAGCGUUAUCCGGAAUGAUUGGGCGUAAAGCGUCCGCAGGUGGCAAGUCAAGUUUGCGGUUAAAGGUUCUGGCUCAACCAGGGACAGGCCGUGAAAACUGACUAGCUAGAGUAUGGUAGGGGCAGAGGGAAUUCCCAGUGUAGCGGUGAAAUGCGUAGAGAUUGGGAAGAACACCGGUGGCGAAAGCGCUCUGCUAGGCCAAAACUGACACUGAGGGACGAAAGCUAGGGGAGCGAAUGGGAUUAGAUACCCCAGUAGUCCUAGCCGUAAACGAUGGAUACUAG